GACAGGAAGUGCAGCCGUUAUUCGGAUUUAUUGGGCGUAAAGGGUAUCUAGGUGGGUUCAAAAAACAAAGGACGAAAUGCUAGAGUAUACUUUUAGAGAAGUUCCUUUCAGAUUAAGAACCUUGAGUUGGUUGGACGUUUGGAGAAUCUCUGGUGUAGGGGUAGAAUGUUACAAUAUCAGACAGAAGACCCGAGGCAUAGGCGCCUUACGAUGAUUGACUGACGCUGACGUACGAAAGUGUAGGGCGCAAACAGG
rnacentral:rRNA from 1 species